rnacentral:misc_RNA from 1 species
AAAAAGGGAAAAAAAAAAUCAAUAUAUGGGAAAAAUCAAAUAUUAAGCCAAAUCCUGGACCUUUGAUUCAAAUUAAAGGCCAAAAAAGGGGUCAAAAAGUCAAAAAGAAGAAAAUCAAAUCAACUUAAAAAAUAUCAAGGAUUUCGAGAAUCGAACGGUUGCAGAUAGGACAAGACCCUCGAUUGGCCCACAUUUCUCUUGAACAAACUCUGCAAAAGGUGUGUCCACAUGGAAUAAAAGCUGCACCUUUAUUCCUAUCCAUGCAUACGCAGCACACCCAAUCAUUCUCAUUCCCUAUUCCUCCUCCUCCUCCAUACUCAUUUUCCCUCCUUUUCUUUGUCCUCCAAUCUACACCGUCUGUCUCUUCAAUCAGUCUCAUUAGGGUCUUGACAGGCCCAUCAUUUUUCAGGGGACCCACAUUUUCUCUCCGCAAAUUGCGCUCAGCAGCCAAUGCCAUUCCAAGGUUAAUCCCAGCAGUCGCCGCGUCGUUGUUACUGUUCCCCACGGGAAGUUGACUUGCGUUGGCGAAGCUGACCACUGGUUGAUCGCUCCCUUGCUCUUGUAUGAUAAUGGGUUCCUCUUCUUCUUCUUCUUCU